UACGUAGGGUGCGAGCGUUGUCCGGAAUUAUUGGGCGUAAAGAGCUCGUAGGCGGCUUGUCGCGUCGGAUGUGAAAGCCCGGGGCUUAACUCCGGGUCUGCAUUCGAUACGGGCAGGCUAGAGUUCGGUAGGGGAGAUCGGAAUUCCUGGUGUAGCGGUGAAAUGCGCAGAUAUCAGGAGGAACACCGGUGGCGAAGGCGGUUCUCUGGGAAUAUCCUGACGCUGAGGAGCGAAAGUGUGGGGAGCGAACAGG
rnacentral:rRNA from 1 species